GAAAAGCAUUACAAUCCAUGAAGAAUAUUUCUACACUAGAGAUAAAAAUAAAACAAGGAGUUAAAAUGUAAAAACUCAAUGGAAAAGCUACUUGAAAGAGGUGAUUAAUUUGGCUAUCAACAGUGAUCAUCCUUUCCUCCAAGUUAAUUUUAGUAACAGCCAUCCUAACAGAAUGAAGAAGAAAAGAAGAAUGUUUGCAAAUAACACUACAAAAAUUUGUCACUAGCCCAUCUGCAUUACAAGAAGUGCUAAAGGAACUUGUUCAGUAUGAAGAAAAUGAUACCCAAUGAAAGCUUGUAUGUUCAGGAUGGAAAGAAGAGAAUAA